rnacentral:rRNA from 1 species
CCUACGGGGGGCAGCAGUGAGGAAUAUUGGUCAAUGGGCGCAAGCCUGAACGAGCAAUGCCGCGUGAACGAGGAAGGUCUUCGGAUCGUAAAGUUCUGUUGAAGGGGAAAAGAGCGGAGAGAGGAAAUGAACUCCGAUUGAUAUUACCCUUCGAGGAAGUCACGGCUAACUACGUGCCAGCAGCCGCGGUAAUACGUAGGUGGCGAGCGUUAUCCGGAAUGAUUGGGCGUAAAGGGUGCGUAGGCGGCCUGCUAAGUCUGGAGUGAAAGGUACCGGCUCAACCGGUACAGGCUCUGGAAACUGGCGGGCUAGAGAGCAGGAGAGGGCGGUGGAACUCCAUGUGUAGCGGUAAAAUGCGUAGAUAUAUGGAAGAACACCAGUGGCGAAGGCGGCCGCCUGGCCUGUUGACUGACGCUGAGGCACGAAAGCGUGGGGAGCAAAUAGGAUUAGAUACCCUAGUAGUC